rnacentral:rRNA from 1 species
AGUGAACGCUGGCGGCGUGCCUAACACAUGCAAGUCGAACGAUGAUGGAGGAGCUUGCUCUUCCUGAUUAGUGGCGCACGGGUGAGUAUACCAUAGAUAAUGUACCCCUUAGUUUGGGAUAGCCACUGGAAACGGUGAUUAAUACCAGAUACUCCUUCUUGUCCUAAGGCAAGUCGGGAAAGUUUUUUCGCUAAGGGAUCAGUCUAUGUCCUAUCAGCUAGUUGGUGAGGUAAUGGCUCACCAAGGCUAUGACGGGUAUCUGGUUUGAGAGGAUGAUCAGACACACUGGAACUGAGACACGGUCCAGACUCCUACGGGAGGCAGCAGUGAGGAAUAUUGCACAAUGGAGGAAACUCUGAUGCAGCAACGCCGCGUGGAGGAUGACGCAUUUCGGUGUGUAAACUCCUUUUAAGAGGGAAGAUAAUGACGGUACCUCUUGAAUAAGCACCGGCUAACUCCGUGCCAGCCGCCGCAGUAA